GACGAACGCUGGCGGCGCGCCUAACACAUGCAAGUCGAACGAGCGAGAGAGAGCUUGCUUUCUUGAGCGAGUGGCGAACGGGUGAGUAACGCGUGAGGAACCUGCCUCAAAGAGGGGGACAACAGUUGGAAACGACUGCUAAUACCGCAUAAGCCCACGGUGCCGCAUGGCACGGAGGGAAAAGGAGCAAUCCGCUGUGAGAUGGCCUCGCGUCCGAUUAGCUAGUUGGUGAGGUAACGGCCCACCAAGGCGACGAUCGGUAGCCGGGCGGGGAGGUUGCACGGCCACAGUUGGACUGAGACCCGGCCCAGACUCCUACGGGAGGCAGCAGUGGGGAAUAUUGCACAAUGGGGCAAACCCUGAUGCAGCGGCGCCGCGUGGAGGAAGAAGGUCUUUGGAUUGUAAACUCCUGUUGUAGGGGAAGAUAAUGACGGUACCCAACAAGGAAGUGACGGCUAACUACGUG
rnacentral:rRNA from 1 species